ensembl:lncRNA
CAGGACUUUCAUCCCACCACCACCACCAAUCAGCCCCUGCCUGGAUACCCACUUCCGGUUGGCCGUACUGAAGAGUCCCGCCCCCUCCCCGUGGCAGUGAUGUCAGAGGAAGCCGAAUGAAGAGUCAGGAAUUUCGUCACUGCGCAGUGAUAAUAAGGCCAUCCCCCGCCGAGGCGAGUUACGGGAGCCAUAACUCCCCUCCUAGGAGCUAUAAGCGCCCUCCUCUCCUCGGUAUCAACAGCGGGAGACCGGGGCUUCUCCCUCCUUUGGCAGAACAAGGUUUUCCAGGCAAAAAUCAUUGUCAUUGCAAGAGCCAGAAAGAUCUCAAACCAAAUGAAAAAAAAAAUAAGUAAAAUAAAGACAAUCCAUAGAUGUCAACACCAAGAUGAGAGAGAACGUUAGAAUUAUCUCACAAAGAUUUUCAAGAAACCAUGAUGAAAAGGCUUCAAUGAGCAAUUAGGAACACGCUUGGAACAAGUGAAAAAAUAGAACCUCCUCAGCAAAGAAAUGGGACAUCUCAGCAAAGAAGCAGGACAUACUAACAGAAAACAGAUGGACAUUUUAGAACUUAAAAGUAGAGUAACUGAUAUGAAAACCUCAGUGGACUGGUUAACAGCUGAAUGGAGGGACAGAGGGGAAAAAAAUCAGUGAACUGAAACAUAAUGUGAUAGAAAUGAUCUGAACAACAAAGACACAAUAGACGGAAAAAAAACAGAUUCCUGACCUAUGGAGCUAUAUAAUAAGAUAUCUAACAUUUGUGUCAUCAGAGCCCAGGAGGAGAGGAGAGACAGAGGGCGAGUUUGAAAACAUACUCAAAAAAAUAAUUACUGAAACUCCCCAUACUUGUCAAAAUACAUACACAUCCAGAUUCAAGAAGCUGAGUGAACCAAAGACACAUCAUACUUGAAUUUCUCAAAACUAAAAGCAAAGUAAGAAAUUUGAGAGCAGCCAGAGAAGACGCUUGUGAGAUUCAUGCCUGUGGCACGUGAGGCAGUUGUUUCACUCAGCCUUGUUUGUGUAGUAUUCUCUCAUGAAAACACAAUUUUGUGACCCAUUCUACUAUUGAGAGUAAAGCUGCUGCAAACGUCCUUAAACAGAUCUUUGAUGAACAUAUGUAGGCAUUUCUCUCGGGUCUAUAAGUUCAAAUGUAAUUGCUAGAUUAUAGGGUAGGUGUAGGUGUUCAGCCUUAAUAAAAAGUGCCAGGCUGUUUUCCAC